rnacentral:tRNA from 1 species
GCCUGGGUGGCUCAGUGGUUGAGCAUCUGCCUUCAGCCCAGGGCGUGAUCCUGGAGUCCUGGGAUCAAGUCCCACAUCAGGCU